AACGUAAAGUAUAUCGAGUUGGUCCGAUCUUUUUCUAGGGUUUACAUAUAAAUGUAAUAACAGUUCCUUCUAUUUUUCAAUCAGGGUUUCAAAGGCAAUUGAGAGAGAGUGAGAUUUUGUGAGCCCAGUCACCAUGAGAGCGAAGUGGAAGAAGAAGCGCAUGAGAAGAUUGAAGAGGAAGAGAAGAAAGAUGAGACAGAGAUCUAAGUAGACGAAGAGACAUGAAUCCAUCUUUUUAGAGGUCUUCUAAUUUGUUGUUUUUAAAGUUUAAUGUCGUUUGUUUUGGUAUUUUGAUUUAGUUGAAUCUGACGUUGAAUUUUGAAUGUUUCUACAACUUCGAUAGAUUUAAUCUAAUGGAGAUUAUUAGUUUGGAUCUAAUUGUUUUGAUUCAGCUUCUUGUUUUAA